rnacentral:lncRNA from 1 species
UACUUUUUACCUUGGAGUGCGGUGUAUUUGUAAAUAUUAUUUUUUUUCAUUUGCUAUCUAGCAGGUUUCGGACAGAAACAUAAACGAUGAAUGUUUAUUUCGACACCUAAUUUGAUCCUCUUUAAAUAAUGUACAUUUUAAGAAUUUAACAUGAUGUUGAACAGAUGUAUUUAAAUAUUUUGUUCUGUUCUAGACACAUCACGACUGAAAGGC